AUUGAACGCUGGCGGCAGGCUUAACACAUGCAAGUCGAGCGGGGAAAAGUAGCUUGCUACUUAACCUAGCGGCGGACGGGUGAGUAAUGCUUAGGAAUCUGCCUAGUAGUGGGGGACAACAUCUCGAAAGGGAUGCUAAUACCGCAUACGUGCUACGAGAGAAAGCAGGGGACCUUCGGGCCUUGCGCUAAUAGAUGAGCCUAAGUCGGAUUAGCUAGUUGGUGGGGUAAAGGCCUACCAAGGCGACGAUCUGUAGCGGGUCUGAGAGGAUGAUCCGCCACACUGGGACUGAGACACGGCCCAGACUCCUACGGGAGGCAGCAGUGGGGAAUAUUGGACAAUGGGGGGAACCCUGAUCCAGCCAUGCCGCGUGUGUGAAGAAGGCCUUUUGGUUGUAAAGCACUUUAAGCGAGGAGGAGGCUACCGAGAUUAAUACUCUUGGAUAGUGGACGUUACUCGCAGAAUAAGCACCGGCUAACUCUGUGCCAGCAGCCGCGGUAA
rnacentral:rRNA from 1 species